AUUUAUCACGUUUACCAACAUACAAGGGGUGUAGGUUAUCUCAUUUAUCACAUUUACCGACAUUCAAUGGGUGUAGGGUACCUCAUUUAUCACAUUUACCAACAUACAAGGAGUGUAGGGUACCUCAUUUAUCACAUUUACCGACAUUCAAUGGGUGUAGGGUACCUCAUUUAUCACAUUUACCGACAUUCAAUGGGUGUAGGGUACCUCAUUUAUCACAUUUACCGACAUUCAAUGGGUGUAGGGUACCUCAUUUAUCACAUUUACCAACAUACAAGGGGUGUAGGGUACCUCAUUUAUCACAUUUACCAACAUACAAUGGGUGUAGGGUACCUCAUUUAUCACAUUUACCAACAUUCAAUGGGUGUAGGGUACUUCAUUUAUCACAUUUACCAACAUUCAAUGGGUGUAGGGUACCUCAUUUAUCACAUUUACCAACAUUCAAUGGGUGUAGGGUACCUCAUUUAUCACAUUUACCAACAUUCAAUGGGUGUAGGGUACCUCAUUUAUCACAUUUACCAACAUUCAAUGGGUGUAGGGUACCUCAUUUAUCACAUUUACUGACAUAAAAGAGAUGUAGGGUACCUCAUUUAUCACAUUUACCGACAUUCAAUGGGUGUAGGGUAUCUCUUUAAUCACAUUUACCGAGAUACAAGGGGUGCAGGUUAUCUCAUUUAUCACAUUUACCGUCUUAUAAGGGGUGUAGGUUAUCUCAUUUAUCACAUUUACCAACAUACAAGGGGUGUAGGUUAUCUCAUUUAUCACAUUUACCGACAUACAAGGGGAGUAGGUUAUCUCAUUUCUCACAUUUACCGACAUACAAGGGGUGUAGGGUAUCUCAUUAAUCACAUUUACCAAGUUACAAGGGGUGCAGGUUAUCUCAUUUAUCACAUUUACCAUCUUAUAAGGGGUGUAGGUUCCCUCAUUGAUCACAUUUACCGAUGUACAAGGGAUGUAGGUUAUCUCAUUUCUCACAUUUAGCGAUAUACAAGGGGUGUAGGUUAUCUCAUUUAUCACAUUUACCGACAUACAAGGGGUUGAGGUUAUCUCGUUUAUCACAUUUACCGACGUACAAGGGGAGUAGGUUAUCUCAUUUAUCACAUAUACCGACAUACAAGGGGUUCAGGUUAUUUCAUUUAUCACAUUUACGGAGAUACAAGGGAAGCAGGUUAUCUCAUUUAUCACAUAUACCGACAUACAAGGGGUUCAGGUUAUCUCAUUUAUCACAUUUACGGACAUACAAGGGGAGCAGGUUAUCUCAUCACAUUUACCGACAUACCUCAUUUACCUCAUUUGCUGACAUACAAAGGGUGCAGCAAGAAACUUUCAUAUUUCAAGCAAUUUUCAAAUUCAAAACAUACGUCAUCAUUUACUUUAAAAAGAAAAGAAAAAAAACUCAGGUGGGACAUAUCGUGAUAGGCAGUCGACAAAGACACGGUACCGUGUCACAAUUCAUCCACCCUCCUUUGUUUGUAAACAAAUCCUGCGCAUGCGCAGAUUGGAUGGGAUGUCUUAGGAUACGCGGAUGGCAGAUGACACCACACCGGGUAGGACACGUAGCAAUGGGUUUAAGUUGGAUAAGUUCAGGUUCAACAAAGACAUAGGCAAGAAUUGGUUUACCAACAGUGGUGGAUGACUGGAGCAGACGUAGAAGUCAUGUGGUGAGCGCCAACACGAUAGAUACAUUCAAGAAGAAGUUAGGUAAGUUCUUGGAUGGGAAGGGUAUGGGCCGUUAGUUUGGUGCCGUGGUCUGGGCGGCAUGUUGCACUGUCUCGCGAGACCUCCUUCCUCCUCCUCCUCUUGUUGCGGGGAGAGUUUGUCGGGUGGGUGGGGGGGGUGUAGAGGGAAGGCAAAGCCCUCCCCCUGGUUAAGAAGGUGGGGGGGUCGAGGUGGGGCGAAGCCCCCCCUUUUAGCUUAGGUCUUGUUCCUUUCCUGAAAAGGAACUGACGCUGCUGCCAUUAGAGGGUGGUAACACUGCAGCAGAGAAUGCAUAACUGACAACUGGGGCAGGCCACUCGGUUAUUGGAGUGAACAGAAGCCCACUACUGUGGGCUACACCACACUGUCAUGGCGUUGUGUGACAAGUCCCGCCAAGCAAAUAAAGCAACUUUGUGCCUGCACGUCUUGUUCACGAUACCUUACCAGGAUUAAAUAAAUUAACGAUCCAUAAUUAUCGCUUAAUUUUAUAAAUAAAGACGCUUAUUGAAGUAACUAUUUAGCAACGUGUAUAAAAAUAAUUGUAAGAAGUCCGCAGUCACUUGUUGCCAUGACAACGUUAACCACUUUCUUUUCUGUGAUCGGUGAUCGGAAGUUAGUUUGUGAAGUUCCGAUCUCCACAGUCCGAUUACCUUUUACAAAGAUGAUCCAAUCUUUGCAUUCUGAUCGCCGAUUGCUGUUCCGAUCAGAUCGGACGAUCGGACUGAUGAUCGGAUGUGCCCAGC